rnacentral:misc_RNA from 1 species
GUAAUUGCAUUCUUGGUCUCGAAAUGGGAAACAGUCAGACGAUCAGAGGCGACAGUCUUCAGGCAUGUGCAAUUUUUGGGAUGGACAAUAGAUUCAAGCAACAGCGAAACUACUUGUCAAAUUUAUUUGAAUAUAGAUGCAACGUCUGGUUGGAAAAUGCAGGAACAAAUGCUGUUCUCUGACUGAACUUUGCACGCUAUGGCCAUUUUUUCGCAUUUCCGAGCGAAAAAAUGGAGAUCUCUCGACGCGUAUCCGGAAUUGCUCGGUCCAGUCGACACGCUCGUGUUUCUGAGGCCGUAAUAUAGGUAUCGUCAUUUAUUUCGUGUUUGAGAAUCCACAGCUGCUA